UGGGGAAUAUUGCGCAAUGGGCGAAAGCCUGACGCAGCAACGCCGCGUGAGUGAUGAAGGCCUUCGGGUCGUAAAGCUCUGUCGGAGGGAACGAAUGCUCCUGAAGUUAACAGCCUCAGGAGGUGACGGUACCCUCAAAGGAAGCACCGGCUAACUCUGUGCCAGCAGCCGCGGUAAUACAGAGGGUGCAAGCGUUGUUCGGAAUCAUUGGGCGUAAAGGGCGUGUAGGCGGUAUGUUAAGUCAUGUGUGAAAUCCCUCGGCUCAACCGGGGAACGACGCAUGAAACUAGCAAGCUAGAGUACCAAAGAGGGUGGUGGAAUUCCCGGUGUAGCAGUGAAAUGCGUAGAGAUCUGGAGGAACACCGAUGGCGAAGGCAGCCCCCUGGGCUAACACUGACGCUCAUGCACGAAAGCGUGGGGAGCAAACAGGAUUAGAUACCCUUGUAGUCCCUGAGCGGGCUGGCAAGGCGCAU
rnacentral:rRNA from 1 species